rnacentral:lncRNA from 1 species
AUUUUCUAUGAUUAUCUUUGAUGAUUACCAUUAGUAUGUUAAUCUUUGUUUGUAAUGACAUUUGGAAGUAUUUUCUAUGAUUAUCUUUGAUGAUUAGUUUGCAACCUUGUUAUUGAUAUUGAUUUCUUGAUUAUAAGUAAUUGUGUUGGAUGAUUGGUACUUGUUUCGGCCAAAAUUGCUAUCUUGGUGAAUUUAUGUGCAAGAUUUGUAAAAUGAACUCGGUUGUGAUUUAAUCUAGUUUAUGCUUGUCUCGGUGGUUGCAUUGUGUUUAUCGGUGUAGCUUUCCUUGUUUAAGUGAGGUUAGAAAACUCCUAACGGAUGACGAACUUAUUUUUAGGAGAUUUUCAUAGACAUUUAUCAAUUGCACGUUAAAGAACAAUUUUAGGUGGUUAAAGUGUGUUUAUCGUUUUAGCUUUCCGAAUGAUUGUCAUGUUAGGAUUCCCGAAAGGGAUACUAAUUGUCUUAAAUUGGAAAAUUGACCGAAUGCUUCUAGUGCCAAAACCGACUUAGUUGACAUGCUUUGGUUGUGUAUUAAGCAAGGCUAUUUAUCUAUUUUAGUAUUUGAAAUCUACUAUGUUUUAUAAGUAUUUGUUUAUGCUUACUUUAGUUUAAUUAAAACCAAACACCUUAUGUUUUUACCGGUAAUUUAGUG